rnacentral:ncRNA from 1 species
CAGUGGGAAUGAAGUUCUCCCCAGGUGAAAGCCAAAACCGCUCUAUGAGCUGAUGACUUCUACAA